GUCGAGCGAAUGGAUUAAGAGCUUGCUCUUAUGAAGUUAGCGGCGGACGGGUGAGUAACACGUGGGUAACCUGCCCAUAAGACUGGGAUAACUCCGGGAAACCGGGGCUAAUACCGGAUAACAUUUUGAACCGCAUGGUUCGAAAUUGAAAGGCGGCUUCGGCUGUCACUUAUGGAUGGACCCGCGUCGCAUUAGCUAGUUGGUGAGGUAACGGCUCACCAAGGCAACGAUGCGUAGCCGACCUGAGAGGGUGAUCGGCCACACUGG
rnacentral:rRNA from 1 species